GGGCAACCUGCUGCUGACAAGUCUUCGUAUGUACAGUGAAAACAGUAAAACAAUGCAAGUUUGUAGUCAGUACGGCUUCUCUACUGAUUCCAAGAUUUUCUUUCUCUCCUCUGCUGAGGGCAUCUCCGGUUUCACACCAUUUCUUUUCCUUUGCAUCAUAAUGUCAUGCCAGAAUUUUCUGCAGUUUUUGUACUUCAAAAAAUAAUCAGUACACAUAUCCUUUUUAUAGUUGUUGUCAUCCAUACAUUUUCUAGAGGCAUCUGUCUCCGCUAUGCAAGGAUUUCUGUCAUGAUCUCUAAGCUGCUGUGCAUACUUGGGCAUUCUAGACACUCGUACCCUGGCUCCGUCCCCGGCCGCGUCCGCGGGAGCCCGAGGCGGGAGGGGGACAGCCCCGUCUCCAAUUCGAAAGACGUCAGCGGCUCGGGCAGAGCGCUUAAGUACGGGCGCAGCCUACCCCGCUCCCGGCCUCGCGGCUCCCCCGGCCCAGCGCCGCCGCCGCCCACGCCCCGGCGGCGCU
rnacentral:lncRNA from 1 species